rnacentral:misc_RNA from 1 species
GAAAUGCGAUAAUUAAUGUGAAUUGCAGAAUUCAGUGAAUCAUCGAGUCUUUGAACGCACAUUGCGCCCCCUGGUAUUCCGGGGGGCAUGCCUGUCCGAGCGUCAUUGCUGCCCUCAAGCACGGCUUGUGUGUUGGGCUUACGUCCCUGGCAACGGGGACGGGCCCAAAAGGCAGUGGCGGCACCAUGUCUGGUCCUCGAGCGUAUGGGGCUUUGUCACCCGCUCCCGUAGGUCCAGCUGGCAGCUAGCCUCGCAACCAAUCUUUUUAACCAGGUUGACCUCGGAUCAGGUAGGGAUACCCGCUGAACUUAAGC